rnacentral:rRNA from 1 species
CACGUAGGGUGCGAGCGUUGUCCGGAAUUAUUGGGCGUAAAGAGCUCGUAGGCGGUGUGUCGCGUCGGCCGUGAAAACCUGCAGCUUAACUGUGGGCUUGCGGUCGAUACGGGCAUCACUGGAGUUCGGCAGGGGAGACUGGAAUUCCUGAUGUAGCGGUGAAAUGCGCAGAUAUCAGGAGGAACACCGGUGGCGAAGGCGGGUCUCUGGGCCGAUACUGACGCUGAGGAGCGAAAGCGUGGGGAGCAAACAGG